GGAAAGCAUCCGUGCCCGGUGGCACGGCCGGGCUUCAAACCCGGUUGGGGGCGUCAGACGUUCCCAGGUAGGUUCGACUCCUGCUGCUUUCC
rnacentral:tRNA from 1 species